UACGUAGGGGGCUAGCGUUGUUCGGAAUUACUGGGCGUAAAGCGCACGUAGGCGGCUUUGCAAGUUAGAGGUGAAAGCCCGGGGCUCAACUCCGGAACUGCCUUUGAUACUGCAAAUCUCGAGUCCGGAAGAGGUGAGUGGAAUUCCUAGUGUAGAGGUGAAAUUCGUAGAUAUUAGGAAGAACACCAGUGGCGAAGGCGGCUCACUGGUCCGGUACUGACGCUGAGGUGCGAAAGCGUGGGGAGCAAACAGG
rnacentral:rRNA from 1 species